AUAAGUGUAGAAUAAAAUUUUUUUAGAAAAAAUUGUCUCUUUCUAAGCACUUGAAAAUAUAAAUGGGGAUAUUUUUGUACUGCACUAUUAUCGGGAAAUAUUUAUUCGUGUGAUUUUGCACUAGUAUUUAUGUCCAGAAUUCCUUAAAGGAAGAGUAGGUAAAAAAUUUUUAUUCUCUCACCUUUUGUAGGCUAUGAAUACCACCAAUUUUUACCAUGAAUAAAGUUAGCAGAUUCUAGUGAAUGGAAAACAGGACAAUUUUGUUAUAUAUUUUGGCAAAGCAUAUGAUAUAAUUUAAUUUAUUUUACUAUGUAAUGUAAUAUACUCUAGAUUAUUCAAUUUAAGCAUUUGCGAACAUCUAUGAUCGAAGUAAUCAAUGCAAUAGAUAUAAAUAAGAGUGGAUUUGGAAUAAAUCUAAUUUAAAUCCCUUACUAAAGGCGAUUUAAAAAUUUCGUUUCAGAAAUGUAUUCCAGCAUGGUGUAUAGAGUACUCAAACUAAAUAUCUGACAAAUAUGCCGUAAUUUGGUUCCAUCAAACCUUAACAAAGAUUGAGUGGCUACAGAAAAAUUGAAUUAUGAUUAAUACGUGAACAUCACCAGUCAUAAAGACCAUUUUUGAUAUUAAAGCUCAAGACCUAAUCAAAAAAUUGGGUAGACAAAUUUCAGUCAAAACAGAAAAUCCUAAAGAUGGAUUUUAUCUUUAUCAAAGACUUGCAAACCAAGUCAUAAAAUCAAAUUUCUAUUGCCUUAUUAGCUCAUUCACCUAUAUAUUUUGUUUUAAUUGUAAUAUAAUAUCACCUAAUUUGUAACUUCUCAUGCAUGUUUUAUUAUACUUGUUAAAUUUGUCAAAGUUAUUGAAUUUUAUGGAAAAAACUUACAUUUCAUUAUAGUUUAUUAAAUUUUUUAUAUUUAUUUUUUUAUCAUA